rnacentral:rRNA from 1 species
GACGAACGCUGGCGGCGUGCUUAACACAUGCAAGUCGAACGGAAAGGCCCUGCUUUUGUGGGGUGCUUGAGUGGCGAACGGGUGAGUAACACGUGAGUAACCUGCCCUUGACUUUGGGAUAACUUCAGGAAACUGGGGCUAAUACCGGAUAGGAGCUCCUGCUGCAUGGUGGGGGUUGGAAAGAUUCGGCGGUUGGGGAUGGACUCGCGGCUUAUCAGCUUGUUGGUGGGGUAGUGGCUUACCAAGGCUUUGACGGGUAGCCGGCCUGAGAGGGUGACCGGCCACAUUGGGACUGAGAUACGGCCCAGACUCCUACGGGAGGCAGCAGUGGGGAAUAUUACACAAUGGGCGGAAGCCUGAUGCAGCAACGCCGCGUGCGGAAUGACGUCCUUCGGGUUAUAAACCGCUUUCGCCUGUGACGAAGCGUGAGUGACGGUAAUGGGUAAAGAAGCACCGGCUAACUACGUG